rnacentral:rRNA from 1 species
GACAGAGGGUGCAAACGUUGCUCGGAAUCACUGGGCGUAAAGGGCGUGUAGGCGGGACAGUAAGUCGGGCGUGAAAUCCCUGGGCUCAACCCAGGAACUGCACUCGAAACUACUAUUCUUGAGUGUCGGAGAGGAAAGCGGAAUUCCUGGUGUAGAGGUGAAAUUCGUAGAUAUUCGCAGGAACACCAGUGGCGAAGGCGGCUCACUGGUCCGGUACUGACGCUGAGGUGGCGAAAGCGUGGGGAGCAAACAGG